rnacentral:rRNA from 1 species
GUCUGAAGCCAUACCACCUUGAACGUGCCCAAUAUCGUCUGAUCUCAGAAGCUAAGCAGGGUCGGGCCUGGUUAGUACUUGGAUGGGAGACAGAUCUUCAAAAGAGACUGCUCAGAGA